rnacentral:rRNA from 1 species
CGUCAAGUCCUCAUGGCCCUUACGGGCUGGGCUACACACGUGCUACAAUGGCGGUGACAAUGGGCAGCCACUCCGCAAGGAGGAGCUAAUCCCCAAAAGCCGUCUCAGUUCGGAUUGCACUCUGCAACUCGAGUGCAUGAAGCUGGAAUCGCUAGUAAUCGCAGAUCAGCAACGCUGCGGUGAAUACGUUCCCGGGCCUU